rnacentral:rRNA from 1 species
UACGUAGGGGGCAAGCGUUGUCCGGAAUCAUUGGGCGUAAAGCGCGUGUAGGCGGCCCGAUAAGCCUGCUGUGAAAGUCCAGGGCUCAACCCUGGGAUGCCGGUGGAUACUGUCGAGCUCGAGUCCGGAAGAGGCGAGUGGAAUUCCUGGUGUAGCGGUGAAAUGCGCAGAUAUCAGGAGGAACACCAAUGGCGAAGGCAGCUCGCUGGGACGGUACUGACGCUGAGACGCGAAAGCGUGGGGAGCAAACAGG